rnacentral:rRNA from 1 species
UACGUAGGGUGCAAGCGUUGUCCGGAAUUAUUGGGCGUAAAGGGCUCGUAGGCGGUCUGUUGCGUCGGGCGUGAAAUGCCGGGGCUCAACCCCGGGACUGCGUCCGAUACUUCCGAGCUGGAGGUAGGUAGGGGAGAUCGGAAUUCCUGGUGAGCGGUGAAAUGCGUAGAUAUCGGGAGGAACACCAGUGGCGAAGGCGACUACCUGGCCUGUUCUUGACGCUGAGGCGCGAAAGCUAGGGGAGCAAACGGGG